rnacentral:tRNA from 1 species
GGGAAUGUGGCUCAGUGGUAGAGUGCUUGCCUAGCAUGCAUGGGUUCAAUUCCUCAAUUCCA